AAAAACAAACCAAAACAAAAAAUAAUAAAGAAGCCAAAAAAAAAAAAAAAAAAGUCAUCAAGAUCGCUCGGCUUGCCGAGACAGCAGCCCCCAAUACACGUUUACAACAACACUCUCCACUUCUCCGGCGUCUUCCUCUCCCCCUCUAUGUCUUUUCCGUUAAAAACCGCUUAAUCUGCAGCAGCACGUGCCUUGUGCACGCUCAGGCCGGUAGCAUCACAGCCCACCCGUUGCCACCAAGCGUCCAGUGGCGUCACGAUGUUCGCCCUCCCGUCACCUUCCGGUCCGGGGGUGCAACGGUUAGUGUCUGUCAGCAAUACAGUGAGGAUUGGCUGCCCUAGGUUCGGAUCUGGAGGGAAGACUGUUAAGCGGGUGCUCUUGGAGGCUGUGCGUGUGUAUGCGAAGUGUUGGGGGUGGGGGGAAGGUUCGUGCCUGAAGGGAAUAAUUCUAACCGCCAAGAGACUCAUUCUUGCUAUGCCAAAUCCGAGGCCAUGGGGCAUCAUUAACGAUGGUUGGCUUUGGCCAGAAAAAUCGAAAGUCAGUGAGGACAUUUUUACAACCUGAAAAGAUUGUUUCUCCCGUCCAUUAAGGGUCACCUCUGGAUCCUUGUGCCACUUCUUCUUUUUCGACGAUAGAUCCUUCGCAAGGUCCGCAGCGACUGCUGCAUGAGGGCGAUCACCAAAGUCAGAGGCCAAGUGAGGGGAGGACGCAUUGCUCUGCCUGCUACCUCGCUCUCAUCCGACACUCAAAGCUAUGGUCCGUGGGUCCCGGGGCUGGACGUGGACAGACUACGACAAGAUGCUGCCAUGGUCUUCCUCCCCUCCCCCGGGUGCCUAACCCUUGUGCAUUUAUCAUCGCCAGAGGUCGCCACUGCGUAUGCUACCCAGGAGGCAAAGAUUUCCCAGAUUUCCAUCUCUAUCCUCCUAUCUGCCCUCAGCACCAAACUCAAGGUGCAGGCGCGUGCGUCUCCAAAAAGGCAACGAAGGGCAACGCUGACAGCUGAGCAACAAGCGCCGCCUGGUGGCCAGGACAACGAAUAAGCGGGUGCUCCCACCUGCACAACUCUUACACGACUCACCCCACAACGGCAAGCUUCAACCGACGACCUUAAGCUGUAGCACACACCAGCUGUAGGCAGUGAACAAAAUGGUGAAAGGGAGAGCAGUGGGCUCGCCAAGGUGGAUGACAGCUUGAUGGAUGCCACCUCAAUGUCACAUUCUUGGUUCCCACAACAACUGAUAAUAAGCCAACAUGCCCCAGUGUGGGCUUGCAGCGGACUUUCUACAUCCUAAGAGUCACCUUCAGGGCCGUCAAAGUCAACAGGAAAGACACUGUGCAUACAAGAACAUUUGGUGUCUGCUGGGUGGAACCCCCGCUGGUAGAUACUGGAAGCAAGAGUUUCUGCUAGGAAUGCCUACUUCUUGGGUACAUCACUUCAAUCCUGUAGAAAUGGCAAGAAGCGACGUCAACUACAGCGCCCAUCAGCCGUCUGACGACUCCAGAGUAAUGGAGGGAGGACAAGUCGUUGUCCUGCAGCAAAUUGGAGUAAGCCCAACCCAAGCGUCUUGUCUUUACAGGAGUCUUUGCCACAGCUUGACACUACAUCCCCAAACGGAGAAGCAGAAUUUGCGGGGUCAGGACAAGGGACAGCGACCUCCUUUCACUUUACAGCUACAAACCCUGUGGACAGCAAGAAAAGUGGAGCCGCUGGCGCCAACCAACCGCAUCCGCUGUGCCUUGCAUGACAACAAGGAGUCGAGGACGAAUUCAAGGUGUCUGAUACUGGUGUCAUGGAGGCGAUUUAAAAGAGAUUUAUCUGUAACACUCAAGUUGCCAAAGAUUAAAAACCACGCAAGACAUUACACAGAGUGUAGAAAUGCGGCCCAUAACAUACAAUUAUCAGAAGGCUGAUGGUUGACUUCAUCACGCUAUGCAUGACCUCCCUGACCUGUUGAAGUGAUGCAUGACAAAUUAUGAUCCCCAAGAGCAGGAACUUUGAAGUCCUUAAGAGCUUUCGUUUUCCUUUUUACAAAAAGUUGGACAUUUAGGAUGUUAAAUAGAGAAGAUACACGAUGGCUGUGGGAACCAAACAAAUGAGGAGAAACGAUUUUCUCGGACGCAGGGAAAUGUAUUCAAUUUGCAUGCUGACCUCAUGAACUUUUUAGCAGACGACAAUGUUCACAGACGAAAUACGCAAAAUCAGACAUUACAGGAAGGAAUAUAUCUGACAGCAAUUAAAGCUGUAACCAACAUUCCGAAGACCUGCUUUAGACGUCAAUGUUUUCUUAAAUGGGGUACGUUGUUUUUUUUUUUUUAAUGCGGGUAAACAGCAUCCCUCCCACCAGAACACGAACUCGACCAAAAAGAACACACGAAGAUAGCAUAGAGACACCCAAGAAAAAGCACUAGACUGUGUUAACAUUUUUAAGAGUGUGUCGAACUGCUGUCUGAGGGAAAUGAGCUUCAAUGGCUGCGGACGAUGGAAAUAGCUGAGUUAUCGGGGAUGCAGUUGCUUUGAACGAUGAUAUCAGGCAACGUGGAGGAAAACAAAUUAGGAGGCUGCGAAAGUCAUCAUAACGGCAAGGCAGAAUAAACACUUAGAAAAUUCGGUUUGAAAAUCUCUUGAAUAGAAGGACGAAAUGUAGAAGCCCAGACAUUUGGAAGCAGCAAGAGAAAAAGUAUUUUAGAAAUAAAUGUUGCUUGGUCAUCAAUGGCACUAGUGCGAUGUUCAUAAUGAUGAUGACAUAACAGAACUCGAUACAUACAAGUAUAUAUAUAACUUUAUUUACUGGACUCGCAGUCUAAACUUAGUGGUGGUGUGUUCUUUUAUAGAAAAAAAUUCUGUCUAGCGGCAAUUUCACACUUUUAGGGGGUUAGAUAAUUGUAGUCUUGCAACCUUCGAUCGAAGGGGAAUGAAGUGUUAGACCGCAAUUACAUCGGGGUAGCUCUCACCCUUUUAAGGUGGUGAACAGCUGGGGGAGAAAGUAUGUUUGAAGACGUCGUGAUAUAAUGUAAGGUCUUUGGUAUGCAGCCCUACUCGGGUGGUCAAAACAGUGUGUUCAUGAACAGAUAACCGGCUAGUGUGCACACUUCUGGUUUCAGACGGUUAUUCUCGCUAUUGAAGAAGAUGAGAAAGGAAAGCAUCUGGAGAAAAUCACCGAAAACAGAGUUCAAACCCAGGGCCUUUCAAUUGUUACUGCAGUGGUGGCAAGAUGGUGUUUUUACCUCUGUGCUACCAGAUUUUUCUUCUAGAAACCACAUCACCACCCCAACACACACACUGCAUCUACUCGAUACUAUCGACUUUGAUACACUGAGACAUUUUUACAGCAAGAACAGUCUGCAACUGCUUUCGAUUCUGUUAGUCUCCAGACAAACAGGAGGGACGUGGAUGGGUGGAAGAGAACUCACGUAACAGGUUAUUCUAAAUAUUUUUUCUCCAACUUCCCUCUCUUCUUGAGAAACGAUGGGUUUUAUUGUACGGGGCUUACUUCGUGUACUGGUCGAAUAGGGAAAUUCGACUGGGAUGUAGCCAAAAAGCUUAAAUAAACAAAUGAAGAAGGACGAUCUAAAAGCUCUUCUUACCCGGGCUAAUGUCGCUGAACUUUUGACUGAGUUAUAUAGAGAGUGUGUGUCACAUGAGACCAAUGGCUUUGGGACGAACGGUCAGGGAACUUGCAAUUUGUGAAAUUCAAACUUGUUUGGCAAUACAUUUAUUACAUUUAUGGGACUUCGGGGCAUUUUCGGAGGUUUGACAUUCAACAAUGUGUAGAAAACGAGUUUCUAUGUUGAAGCAGCAGACGUCUAGUCGAUGGAAUGUUCGUCCGUAGAGAGAGAAAGAGAUGGGGAAGGCAGGUCAAGAGGGGCCAACCCUUAAUGUAGCGGGGAAAGGUCACAAUAAAUCUAUUGGGUUAAUUACGAGUCCGAUCAGCGAAGCAAGACUAGUCAAGGAAAGGUAGAGAAAAGAAUAGUUUUACUUUGUGAGCUUCAGGCCAGUCCCAAACCUCACUUUACUGGAGAAGGGGAUGUUAAAAAUUGUUACUGGAUUCCACUUUGUGCUUGGAUGCUCGGGCGCUUUGGAGUUAUCACUCUUGCACAUUUGUAGCUUUUGAAGAUUGUGAGAGGUUUGUGGACCGAACUGCGCUGUAAAAAUAUGUAUUUGUGAACUGAUCGAGAAACAGCAUCGGAUAUUGUCUUACAGUCGCGAUUUCUCUGUAUAUAUUUUCCUGAUACUGUUGUCUCUUUUACUUAAAUCGCAUGUCAUUAUUUCUUAUUAAAGCUUUUUUGUUUGUGUGAUUGCGUUAGCGUGUUGUUUUCUAGAACAAUCCAGUUACAGAAUGGCCGUAACCACAGACGGAGGUUAUUGAAUGAUUUGUUUACUUUGGGUAAUAAACCAACACAUUUUUGUCAGCGUUGUUGCAAGAUUGUUGAACUAAGGAUCUGUAAUGGAAAAGAAAAGUCGACAAACGCUGUGGAUAGGAGGAUAAAGAGAGGAGAAAGGGAACAGGGGCAAAAAUAUUCGGCCUUGUUCUGGCUUGAUCGAGUUAAUAUUGGGUUUAUUUGCUGUCCUUGCCUUAUCUGGAUUAUAUACGGCUUAUUUCUUUUUAAUCUCAAGUUGUUGCAGGUAUCUGCUCUUGUGGCUGCCAUUGAACGAGACUCCGCCAAAUAGAGGGAGAGUGUCGCGCGUGCAUUACUGAAGUCUGUGGGGACGUGAACACGUUAUCACUGGAACACGACGUAUUUGUGUGUUCAUCUUUGGAUUCCUACACCAUGUGCCUGGUGUAAAUUACAAAUAUAUUUUGAAGGCAGACGGGAGUUCAGGGAUGUUAGAAGGGUGUGCUUCGUGUUGUCCUGUGUAAACCCUGUCCAGGAACCUAAUAUAUCACGACCUGGACAUCGACAAGACAAUCAUUUUGUUUCUGUAGAUUGUGUGCGUUCCUUGGCAGUGACAAUAUACAGACGGAAGGAGAACGAAAAUGAACGAAAGAUGAUUUUAUGCAUCUAUACGCACUCUCGUGCACGCACUCACGCACACACAAAGAUUUAAGCAAAAUACUAGAAUAAUUUCUGAGACACAGCCUCCAAAGCUUGCCAGCAACGAUGUCUUAUUAAUUCUCUGACCGCUUUACUUACCGUGUCCGCCUGCUUCAGUUAACCAAAUUUUUAAAAGAACUGUCCUUUACCUCACUGAAUAAUUACUUCGCUGUUUGUAUAUUUCAGAGCUGGAAGACUUUACCAACCAGCUAAAAAUGAUUGUCUUGAGUCAGCAAUGCCAAUGAAACAAGCAAUAUUCGUCCACU